CGGCCGCGUCGACGCAAGUCGAGCGGUAACAGAUCUAGCCUGCUAGAUGCUGACGAGCGGCGGACGGUGAGUAAUGCAGUAGGAUCUCGCCGGUAGGUAGGGGACUAACCGGUACGGGAAACCCGAGACUAACUACCGCAUACCGUCCGUACGGAAGGAAGGGGCUCCGGCUCCCGCUACGGGAUGAGCCUAUGUCGGAUUAGCUAGUUGGUGGUAAAGGCCUACCAAGGCAACGAUCCGUAGCUGGUCUG
rnacentral:rRNA from 1 species